UCCACUGGCACAGAGACCUCAGAUAAGACGGAACUGAGGACUGAACUCUGAGCAGGCUCUUUGUUCUAAAUUUCUUCCUGGGGGGCCUGGGGGAAGUCCCGCCCACAAGCCACAGCUAACAUUCCUUUCUGGUAACCCAAAUUUUUAAAUGAAACUUCUCUUCCUUAACCAAUUUCAAAACAACAAAUUUUUGAAUCUACCUAUGACCUGGAAGCCCACCCCCACUUCAAGAUAUCCCGCCCUUUUAGGCCAAAACCAAUGUGUACCCUCCAUGUAUUGAUUAAUGAUUUUGCCUGUUAACUUCUGCAAUUCCUGAAAUUCACUCUGCCUUUAAAAACCCUUACCUGCAAGCCAUCAGGGAGUUCCGGUCUUAAGAGUGAGCUGCCCAAUUCUCCUUUUUUGGUCCCCGCAAUAAAUGCCUUGUGUUCUCGUAGAUUAUAUCCCAAUCUCAGUGUUUGGUUUUGCUGCACUGGGCAAGCAGAUCCCAGUCCAGCUCGGUAACACAACUGUCCUCGCCACGACAGCCUCAACCCCAGGACCCUCUGACCGCCCACUGCAACAUGCACCUGGUACAGCAGGCGCUGUGGGAUCUGCUCCGGUGCUGGCCGAAGCUCUGACCUUGCUCCGGUGCUGGCCGAAGCUCUGACCUUGGGCUGCCCAGGCCCACCAGUUAUCCCGUGAACACUGCCAGGCUGCAACAACUCAUGAGCAGAGCAUGGGGCUCCGUCCUUGCUGGUGUCUGGGAGUUACCCCUUUGUUUUUCCAACCAGGCAUGUCAGAAAUGAUAUCUCAUUGUUAACUUUCAUUUGCAUUUCUCUAACUACAGGUGAAGUUAGGAGUUUUUCCAUAUGCUGGUUGCCCAUUUACAUUUCUUCUUUUGUGAAUUGCCUAUUCAUAUUCUCUGCUCAUUUUUCCACUGGAGUAUUGGUAUUUUCCCGUCAAUGUAAAGGAGCUACCUGUGUAUCAUAGAUAGGCAUCUCUUAGCUGUCACUUCUGUUAUGGUUACUCACCCUAAUCUCUGUUUUGCUUUUUGGCUUUGUUUAUGGUUUAUCACUCAAGUUUUAAAACAUUACAUAAUCAAAUAUGCUUAGCUUUCCCCUUAUAACUUCUUGGUUUCCUUUUCCUUCUAAAAGUCUUCUGAGUGUCUGCGUAAUUAGUUUUUCUAAAUUCGUUUACUUUUUUCAUUUUAAUUUUUACUUCAUCUGAAUUUUUUCUUUUUCUUCUAAGCAACUCCUCUACAUGAUGAGAUUUAUUUUUGUAAAUGGCAUGACAGAGCAGUCCAAUUUAAUUUUCUUCUCAUGCAAAGGCAGUGUGAUAGCAUCAUUAAAAUAAUAUCCCUUUUUCACUGAGUUGAAAAACCUCCAUUGUGAUACACUGAAUUCCUCUGUGGGGGAGUCCAUUUCUGGAUCUUACUCUAUACUGUCCCCCAAUUCUCUCUGUUUUCAAGCACAGUGUCUGCUUAACAGUAACCUUACAAAUCCAGCAAGGAAAGUGUUCCUUCUGUGUUUUCUUUUACUUUUUUUUUUUUUUUUUAAAGAUAGGGUCUUACUCUGUUGCCCAGUGUGGAGUGCAGUGGAGCGACCAUGGCUCACUGCAGCCUCAAACUCCUGGACUCAAGCCAUCCUCCCACCUCAGCCUCCUGAGCAGUUGGGAUUACAGGCAUGCGCCACCAUACCUAAUUUUUUCUAUUAAUUUUUUUUUUUUUUAAGACAUGAGGUCUCACUUGGUUGCCCUGCCUCUCUAUGUGGUUUUAAUUUUUUUCAAAAAAUUUUUGACUAUGCUAGAUUUCUUUUUCCAUAUGAAUCUUUCAAUUUUUUAAUUGUUUUCUCUCCUUUUUAGUUCCUCUUCACCACCACCACACCCCCACCAAGAAAGAUAAAAAAUUCUGGCUGAAAUUUUACUUGGAAGUGCAUUAAGUUUUUAUAAUAGAAUUUGGUAGAACUGACAUUUUUACAGUUUCCUCCCCAAUAUCAAAUCACUGUUAAGAGUUCAUUGUAUAUCCUUUAAAAUAACUUUAUAGUUGGCCGGGUGCGGUAGCUCACGCCUGUAAUGCCAACACUUUGGGAGGCUGAGGCAGGCAAAUCACAAGGUCAGGAGUUCGAGACCAGCCUGGCCAACAUGGUGAAAUGCCGUCUCUACUAAAA
rnacentral:lncRNA from 10 species